AGAGCAGAAGUGUGUGGAGGCUCGUGUUGUGUGGCAGAGCUGCUGUGUAGCUCAGCUCACCAGAGGGCGCUGUUGAGUCUGUUUGCUGCAUGCAGCUCUGAGUGACUUUACACCAUGUUACACAGGUGCUGAGAGCAUGGCUGCAAGAGAGACCCUGUUUUUGCACAACUACAGAUUUAGCUGAUCUCUGAGAUCUGGGAGCUGUCAUGAAAGAUUAUGGGAAUUAUCAGCCAAAGAUUUUGGUGGAAAACGGCUCGAUACGUUGACGUCACUGCUUCCGGUUCAUGGAUCACCGGUCUGUCCUUCGAUACGGUGGGAUUCAAUCAAAUAAUAAGCUUCAAACAUCAAAGCUCACCGUUCAGCAGCCGACUCAACUCAAGCCCCAGAUGUCAGACCCUCCUGAUGAACUACUCCCAUUCCAUAUGUUCUUCCCACCAACACCUGCGAUAACAACUGCUAAGGCACGGCUGCAAGAUGUGGAUCUGACCCAGACUAUGAUGGAGUUUGGAUUACAGAGAAUGCUUCAGUUAAGCUAAAUAAGACCCAACAGGACGCUACCGGAUCUAAAGCGAGAACAAUGCCUUAUUAAGGAUGGUACGGAGUGUCUUGAAGCCCAUGGCGAUGUCGAGCAGAUGGGCGGCAAAGAAGAAGUUGUUGUAGUGACCCAGGAUGGACAUGGUCAUAUACCAGGCCAGAUACAGGAAGGACUGCAGGGAGCGAGGGAGGGAGAGCUUCCAGAUCUGGUACUUGACAUCAAUGGAGUUCAGCCUGAUGACAGAGGGAGAAGAGGCUCACAGAGGGGCGAUCAUGUGUGACACCAUAUGACCAGAAGCUGAGCCUCUGAAGGAGACCCUUCCUUUCAGGGUGAAUAAACG